rnacentral:rRNA from 1 species
AGCUCGAGCAUCACGCUUUAAUCCAAGAGCAUAGCACAUGCAAGCUUGGAGCGCUGAGUGCUGAUUACUGAGUUAGUGGCGGACGGGCGAGUAACGCGUGAGUAAUCUGCCUUGUACUGGGGGAUAACGUCGGGAAACCGGCGCUAAUACCGCAUAACACUGCGAUAUCGCAUGGUAUUGCAGUCAAAGCUCCGGCGGUACAAGAUGAGCUCGCGUCCAAUUAGCUAGUUGGUGAGGUAAUGGCUCACCAAGGCGACGAUUGGUAGCCGAACUGAGAGGUUGAUCGGCCGCAUUGGGACUGAGACACGGCCCAGACUCCUACGGGAGGCAGCAGUGGGGAAUAUUGCGCAAUGGGGGCAACCCUGACGCAGCAACGCCGCGUGAAGGACGAAGGUCUUCGGAUUGUAAACUUCUUUGAUUGGGGAAGAAAAUGACGGUACCCAAGGAACAAGCCACGGCUAACUACGUG